AUUGAACGCUGGCGGCAGGCCUAACACAUGCAAGUCGAGCGGAGCGGCGGACGGGUGAGUAAUGCCUAGGAAUCUGACUGGUCGUGGGGGAUAACGUCCGGUAACGGGCGCUAAUACCGCAUACUAUUAGCUGAGCCUAGGUCGGAUUAGGUAGGUGGUGGGGUAAAGGCCUACCAAGGCGACGAUCCGUAACUGGGCUGGGUGGAUGAUCAGUCCAAAUUGAAAUGGGGCACGGCCCAGACCCAUACGGGAGGAAGAAGUGGGGAAAAUUGAGAAAUGGGGGAAACCUUGACCAGCCAAGGCGGGGGGGGUGAGGAAGGCUUCGGAAUGGAAAACACUUUAAGUUGGGGGGCCGUUCCAACAGAAUAAGCACCGGCUAACUUCGGGCCAGCGGCCGCGGUAAUUC
rnacentral:rRNA from 1 species